CCCCUAGUAACUGCGAGUGAAGCGGGAAAAGCUCAAAUUUAAAAUCUGGCGGUCUUUGGCCGUCCGAGUUGUAGUCUGGAGAAGUGCUUUCCGCGCUGGACCGUGUAUAAGUCUCUUGGAACAGAGCGUCAUAGAGGGUGAGAAUCCCGUCUUUGACACGGACUACCAGUGCUUUGUGAUGCGCUCUCAAAGAGUCGAGUUGUUUGGGAAUGCAGCUCAAAAUGGGUGGUGAAUUCCAUCUAAAGCUAAAUAUUGGCGAGAGACCGAUAGCGAACAAGUACCGUGAGGGAAAGAUGAAAAGCACUUUGGAAAGAGAGUUAAACAGUACGUGAAAUUGCUGAAAGGGAAACGCUUGAAGUCAGUCGCGUUGUCCGGGACUCAGCCUUGCUUUCGCUUGGCGCACUUUCCGGAUGACGGGCCAGCAUCGAUUUUGACCGUCGGAAAAGGGCUAGGGUAAUGUGGCACCUCCGGGUGUGUUAUAGACCUUAGUCGCAUACGGCGGUCGGGAUCGAGGAACGCAGCGCGCCGUAAGGCAGGGGUUCGCCCACAUUCGCGCUUAGGAUGCUGGCGUAAUGGCUUUAAACGACCCGUCUUGAAACACGGACCAAGGAGUCUAACAUGCCUGCGAGUGUUUGGGUGGUAAACCCGAGCGCGUAAUGAAAGUGAAAGUUGAGACCUCUGUCGUGGAGGGCAUCGACGCCCGGACCUGACGUUCUCUGACGGAUCCGCGGUAGAGCAUGCAUGUUGGGACCCGAAAGAUGGUGAACUAUGCCUGAAUAGGGUGAAGCCAGAGGAAACUCUGGUGGAGGCUCGUAGCGAUUCUGACGUGCAAAUCGAUCGUCAAAUUUGGGUAUAGGGGCGAAAGACUAAUCGAA
rnacentral:rRNA from 1 species